rnacentral:rRNA from 1 species
AACACAUGCAAGUCGAGCGGUAGCACAGAGAGCUCUGCUCUCGGGUGACGAGCGGCGGACGGGUGAGUAAUGUCUGGGAAACUGCCUGAUGGAGGGGGAUAACUACUGGAAACGGUAGCUAAUACCGCAUAAUGUCGCAAGACCAAAGUGGGGGACCUUCGGGCCUCAUGCCAUCAGAUGUGCCCAGAUGGGAUUAGCUAGUAGGUGGGGUAAUGGCUCACCUAGGCGACGAUCCCUAGCUGGUCUGAGAGGAUGACCAGCCACACUGGAACUGAGACACGGUCCAGACUCCCUACGGGGAGGCAGCAGUGGGGGAAUAUUUGCACAAUGGGGCGCAAGCCCUGAUGCAGCCCAUGCCCGCGUGUGUGAAAAAAGGCCUUCGGGUUGUAAAAGCACUUUUCAGCCGGGGAAGGAAGGCGUUUAAGGUAAUAACCUUUGGCGAAUUGACGUUACCCCGCAGAAGAAAGCACCGGCUAACUCCGUGCCAGCAGCCCGCGGUAAUACGGAGGGUGCCAGCGUUAAUCGGAA